AGUUAAAGACUCACCCGCCCCACGCCUCUCUUAAGGCCAAUAACACUGCUCAGAGGGAAGGUUCAAAAGCUAGGCAGAGAGAAACCGUAACGUUUAUGACGGCGGGAUAAAGACCCUUUCCCACAGAAUGCCAUGUCUUUGUGAAAUGAUUAUAAGGAAUCGUCCCUUGAAUAUAGACUGCUGUGAGUGUUGGCGUGCGCUUCCCCUGCCGAAAGUGAGAGGAGAGCAGAAAGUGCAAGAAAGUCAAUGUGGCUACCCCGAGGCUUGUAGCACCACGCUCUACAGGACCUGGAAGUAAGAGGAGGACUCCCACCCCAUAAAAUGACAGACAGUAAGAUCACUGGGACCUUGGCUUUUGCUGUCUUCACUGCGGUGCUGAGUUCCUUCAAGUGUGGAUAUGACCUUUAUGUGAUCAACGCACCUCGAAUGGCAAGUAAAACACUUAAGUUCUUUGGAGCAACUGCAGUCAGUGACAGAAAGAUAUCACCUGUUCUUUGGACAAGGAAUUAAGUGUGCCCACAAGGGGGACACCAGGUAAUUUUGGCCUUCUGUCAGGUAAGAGGUGCAUGUCUCCAAAGCUGGUAACUUUGCCUUGACUCCUUAGUCAACAUUCCUCACAGGAGAAGAAGGGGUUUAAUAAGUAAUUCUUGAGCUGAUUCCACUAUCUGCUGAGUUCACAGAACACUCCAGUCAGAAAACCACGUGCCCAGGGAGGUUUAAAGAAAAGGAGAGAGUUCAAUGCAGCAUUCAUUCAGAGGUUCCAAUCAUUAUGGAUGAAAAACUCCAGGGAAUAAGGGGAAAUGAGAGAAGGAUAUAUUUUCUUAAGUGCACAAACAUUAGACACCUACCUACUAUGCACCAGGUGCUUCAAUAUACACUCCCUCCACUUCUAUCCUUCCAACAAAAUUACUUUUCCUGUUCCCAGUCCAGAUGAAAACCUUUAGGAGACCUAACACUAGAAAGGUUAGAAUUCUUCAUCCCCAUUCCUGUCUCCCUUAGGAAAUUCAAAGCAAGAUAAUAUAAA
rnacentral:lncRNA from 1 species